rnacentral:rRNA from 1 species
UACGUAGGUGGCAAGCGUUGUCCGGAUUUACUGGGCGUAAAGAGCGCGCAGGCGGUCGUUCAAGUCGCGUGUGAAAGCCCCCGGCUCAACUGGGGAGGGUCACGCGAUACUGAUCGACUCGAAGGCAGGAGAGGGUAGUGGAAUUCCCGGUGUAGAGGUGAAAUUCGUAGAUAUCGGGAGGAACACCAGUGGCGAAGGCGGCUAUCUGGACGAGUACUGACACUGAGACGCGAAAGCAUGGGGAGCAAACAGG